AUUGAACGCUGGCGGCAGGCUUAACACAUGCAAGUCGAGCGAGCGGCGGACGGGUGAGUAAUGUCUGGGAAACUGCUUGAUGGGGGGGGAUAACUACUGGAAACGGUAGCUAAUACCGCAUACCAUCAGAUGUGCCCAGAUGGGAUUAGCUAGUAGGUGGGGCAAUGGCUCACCUAGGGGCCGAUCCCUAGCUGGUCUGAGAGGAUGACCCGCCACACGUGAACUGAGACACUGUCCAGACUCCUACGGAGGGCAGCAGUGGGGAAUUUUGCACAAUGGGCGCAAGCCCGAUGCAGCCAUGCCGCGUGUGUGAAGAAGGCCUUCGGGUUGGAAAGCACUUUCAGCGAGGAGGCGUUACUCGCAGAAGAAGCACCGGCUAACUCCGUGCCAGCAGCCGCGGUAAUUC
rnacentral:rRNA from 1 species